rnacentral:rRNA from 1 species
CAUUAGGAGUGGGGGCACCCUGACCGCAAUGCCGCGUGUGUGAAGAAGGCCUGAGGGUUGUAAAGCACUUUCAGUGGGGAGGAGGGUAUAAAGGUUAAGAGCUAUUAUAUUGGACGUUACCCACAGAAGAAGCACCGGCUAACUCCGUGCCAGCAGCCGCGGUAAUACGGAGGGUGCGAGCGUUAAUCGGAAUUACUGGGCGUAAAGGGUGCGUAGGUGGUUUGUUAAGUUAGUUUUGAAAUUCCUGGGCUUAACCUGGGCUGGAGGACUAAUACUGAUGGACUGGAGUAUAGGAGAGGGUGGUGGAAUUCCACGUGUAGCGGUGAAAUGCGUAGAUAUGUGGAGGAACACCGAUGGCGAAGGCAGCCCCCUGGGCUAACACUGACGCUCAUGCACGAAA